GGCGAGUGAAGCGGCAACAGCUCAAUUUGAAAUCUGGCCCUUUCAGGGUCCGAGUUGUAAUUUGUAGAGGAUGCUUCGGCGAGGGCUCCCGUCUAAGUUCCCUGGAACGGGACGUCAUAGAGGGUGAGAAUCCCGUAUGUGAUGGGUUGCUCGAGCCAUGUGAAGCUCCUUCGACGAGUCGAGUUGUUUG
rnacentral:rRNA from 1 species